CAAUGUCACUAUUUCACAUUGUGGUAAUCCGGACGCUUACCGCAAUUUGAAAUCCAAAUUUUUACAAAUAGUUUAAUAACAAGCUAAGUUUCCAAUCGUGAUUUGCAUCUCCCUCAUUCUUCAGUGACAUAGGUGGAGGGCUGGAGGUGGUUUCAUUAUACUUGAGCUCCACUGGUGCAGGAUGAGCCCAGAAACGUCAUAAAAGAUGAACUGAGCCUGGUCUUGGUUCAGCUGGAGGGACAUGAACCCUUGCCCGUCGUAGAAGAACCGGAGCUUAUCUUUGUUUUUCUGGAAGAUGCCUCUCCAUGCUUUCGAUCCGCCUCUGCUCGUGAAGUAUUGGAUUGGACUGGAACAGCAGAAGCAAGCAGUGAUCAUGCCCGUUGAUGUAGAAGGCGAUGCCAUUGUCCUGAAUGGUGCAAAAUUAUCGUCGAAAACAGUUUUUCUUUUUCCCGAGAACGUGUCAAAAAGAGGUUAUUUAUUUAUGAGAGAGCCCUUUUGGAACUAAUUGAAGCUACUUCUGAAUAACCUCGAGGACUGGAAGUAGCAGUUUCAGAAGCUCCUUGGUGUCACCAUGCUCACUGACACUCCUCAUGGUAUGAUGCCCCACAGCAAUCUUCCACCUUGCAGUUGAUUUCUUCAUCGCCUUAUCCAAAUCCUGCAUCACAGAAUCCAAAAUGAGAUUGAGGCAAUUUUGCUUUAGGUGUAGCGUUUCUGGCAAUGACGGCAAUUUCUUUCCAAAUGUGCACCUUCAACAAAUUAGCUAUGUAUUUUCCUCGAGGUGCCACUCCUCUCCAGUCAUAAUGACUUUUGCCAGGGGUGAGUCCAAUACUUCAGUUCAAAUGGAGUGGUGUUGACAAAGAAGAAAUCCACAAUUUCUGACAAAAUCAGGGUUGACGUCACAGAUUCAGUCUCGUUUUCCUUAUUAUAGUUUUGACAAAUUUGUAUUUUUUUGCAGUUUGAUCAAAAUAUGGUUUUGUACCUGAGUUUUUUAGAAUGUUUUGUACCUAGUUAACAAUGAACGAUCUCAUGCAAAUGAAUCGGCUGUCGAUCUUCUGCAAGACUGGGCUAAGCUGUGCUAGCACAUCA